AUUGAACGCUGGCGGCAGGCCUAACACAUGCAAGUCGAGCGGAUGAAGGGAGCUUGCUCCUGGAUUCAGCGGCGGACGGGUGAGUAAUGCCUAGGAAUCUGCCUGGUAGUGGGGGAUAACAUCCGGAAACGGGCGCUAAUACCGCAUACGUCCUGAGGGAGAAAGUGGGGGAUCUUCGGACCUCACGCUAUCAGAUGAGCCUAGGUCGGAUUAGCUAGUUGGUGGGGUAAAGGCCUACCAAGGCGACGAUCCGUAACUGGUCUGAGAGGAUGAUCAGUCACACUGGAACUGAGCCACGGUCCAGACUCCUACGGGAGGCAGCAGUGGGGAAUAUUGGACAAUGGGCGAAAGCCUGAUCCAGCCAUGCCGCGUGUGUGAAGAAGGUCUUCGGAUUGUAAAGCACUUUAAGUUGGGAGGAAGGGCAGUAAGUUAAUACCUUGCUGUUUUGACGUUACCAACAGAAUAAGCACCGGCUAACUUCGUG
rnacentral:rRNA from 1 species